ACACCAAUUGAAGCCACUCAUCUCUCCUUUCUUCUCCGCGUCCAGCACCCACAAUCCUCUCCUCUCUUCGAAUUCCAACAACAGCCACCACCCACCAUUCCACUUCAGAGCCCGAACUCAUCGCCGAACCCUUCUCUCCUUUCUCUAUCUGUCGCCCUCUCUGUCCGAGCUCGAUUUGUCGCUGUGGGUCGCGCCGCUUCGCUGCUCGUCGUCGUGGGUCAUUGCCACUUCGCUGCUCCUCGCCGUGGGUCGUCGCCACUUCUCGGAUCCUUGCCGUGGUGGUCCUCGCCGCUUCUCUCCUCCUCGUCGUUUCUCCUUCUCCCCUCCUCGCUGGUGUCGUUUCUGCUUCUAUGCUCCGCACCGUGUCUCACCGUCAUUGCUUCUCUGUCGUGGCUUCUCUUUUUCGCGUGGAGUCUCGCAGUCGAAGCGGCUACCUUUUGUCUCUAGUCUCUGCUUCAACAUCGUAGGUCUCAGAUCUCAAGUUUCAAGUCUCUUCUUCUCUGCUUCAAGCCUUCAAUCCUCUCAGGCCUAAAAAAGUUCAGGUACGUGGGGCAACACAUUGAUGCUCAUUUGUGACAGCAGCAUCAAAAUGGUUCUUUAAUAAUCAAUUUUCUGUUCAUCAAGAACCAAUUUUAUGUUUUUGAAGUCUAAUUUUAUGGAGAAAUGUAACAGAUUGAUAGUGAAGAGACAAUUAAAUGUCUCAUAUAUCUUUGGAACUAAUUUGACCAAGUUAGUAAUAUAUAAAUUGAUGAUCAAUUUGAUGUCAAAGGCAUAUUUCACGGAUCAAAUAAACUUUGAUUAUUUGAAGGGCUUACUCAUGUUUUGAGCUGAA